rnacentral:rRNA from 1 species
AUUGAACGCUGGCGGCAGGCCUAACACAUGCAAGUCGAACGAGUGGCGGACGGGUGAGUAAUGUCUGGGAAACCUCCUGAUGGAUGGGGAUAAAUACUGGAAAAGGUAGCUAAUACCCCAUACCAUCAGAUGUGUCCACAUGGGAUUAGCUAGUAGGUGGGGCAAAGGCUCACCUAGGCGAAGAUCCCUAGCGGGUCUGAGAGGAUGACCAGCCACACUGGAACUGGGACACGGUCCAGACUCCUACGGAAGGCAGCAGUGGGGAAUAUUGGACAAGGGGCGAAAGCCGGAUGCAGCCAUGCCGCGUGUAUGAAGAAGGCCUUCGGGUUGUAAAGUACUUUCAGCGGGGAGGCGUUACCCGCAGAAGAAGCAACGGCUAACUCCGUGCCAGCCGCCGCGGUAAUUC